GGGGCCGAAAGGUAUCGACAGCAGGUGAGGUUAGUGUGUAAGCAUGCCGAGCGUUGUGAAUAUGGCUCGAUAAUCUCAAUUCUCAUCUCGUCUAACUGGCGAAAACAACUACGCGCUUGCUGCUUAAUUUACCUCAGGUAAAUUUCGCUUAAUUCCGUUCACCAGGUGGAUGGAACAGGCUACCCGGUGCAGAGUUCGGCUCAUUAAUUUUGCACAAUGGGUAUCAUGAUUUUGAGCUGGUUAUGGCACUGUUCCAAUGCCGUAAUGAGAAAAUGGAACUAAGGUUUACGGCGGAGCGCAUUUCUCCUUACGUGCACCCUACAAUUCAAUAAAUGCUAAGCAUGUAGAAAGCGCGUUAGUCCCUUGUCUGGACGAGGGUUCAAAUCCCUCCGGCUCCACCU
rnacentral:tmRNA from 1 species